rnacentral:rRNA from 1 species
GAAAACCUUACGAGGAUAAGACAGACGAAGGAUUGACAGAUUGAUCGCUCUUUCUUGAUUGUUUGGGUGGUGGUGCAUGGCCGUUCUUAGUUCGUGGAUUAAUUUGUCUGGUUAAUUCCGUUAACGAACGAGACUUUAACUUGCUAGUUGGAAUAUGCUAUUCAUAGUAUAUUCUGCUAGAAGGACCAUGUGUGUCUAACACAAGGAAGCGUGAAGCAAUAA